CGAGUUGGCCGAACAGUCGCCGUUUUACCUUGCGUAAAAGGGAGGAAAGUCCGGGCUCCACAGGGCAGGGUGCCAGGUAAUGCCUGGGAGGCGCGAGCCUACGGAAAGUGCCACAGAAAAUAUACCGCCAGGUUUCUCGUAAACCCGGUAAGGGUGAAAUGGUGCGGUAAGAGCGCACCGCGCGGCUGGCAACAGUCGUGGCAGGGAAAACCCCACCCGGAGCAAGAUCAAAUAGAGGCGCAUACGCGCGGCCCGCGCGGCGCCUGGGUAGAUCGCUGGAGCGGCAAGGUGACUUGCCGCCUAGAUGAAUGGCUGUUCACGACAGAACCCGGCUUAUAGGCCAACUCGCUUU
rnacentral:RNase_P_RNA from 1 species